GAUGAACGCUAGCGGCAGGCUUAAUACAUGCAAGUCGUGGGGCAGCAGGUUUGUAGCAAUACAGAUGCUGGCGACCGGCAAACGGGUGCGGAACACGUACAGAACCUUCCUUUGAGCGGGGAAUAGCCCAGAGAAAUUUGGAUUAAUACCCCAUAGUAUAAUGAAGUGGCAUCACUUUAUUAUUAAAGAUUUAUCACUCGAAGAUGGCUGUGCGGCUGAUUAGGUAGUUGGCGGGGUAAAGGCCCACCAAGCCUGCGAUCAGUAACUGGUGUGAGAGCACGACCAGUCACACGGGCACUGAGACACGGGCCCGACUCCUACGGGAGGCAGCAGUAAGGAAUAUUGGUCAAUGGAGGCAACUCUGAACCAGCCAUGCCGCGUGAAGGAUGAAGGCCCUCUGGGUUGUAAACUUCUUUUAUAGGGGACGAAAAAGGGAAUUCCUUCCCACUUGACGGUACCCUAGGAAUAAGCACCGGCUAACUCCGUGCCAGCAGCCGCGGUAAGGU
rnacentral:rRNA from 1 species